UGGGGAAUUUUGGACAAUGGGCGAAAGCCUGAUCCAGCAAUGCCGCGUGUGUGAAGAAGGCCUUCGGGUUGUAAAGCACUUUUGUCCGGAAAGAAAUGGCUCUGGUUAAUACCUGGGGUCGAUGACGGUACCGGAAGAAUAAGGACCGGCUAACUACGUGCCAGCAGCCGCGGUAAUACGUAGGGUCCAAGCGUUAAUCGGAAUUACUGGGCGUAAAGCGUGCGCAGGCGGUUGUGCAAGACCGAUGUGAAAUCCCGAGCUUAACUUGGGAAUUGCAUUGGUGACUGCACGGCUAGAGUGUGUCAGAGGGGGGUAGAAUUCCACGUGUAGCAGUGAAAUGCGUAGAGAUGUGGAGGAAUACCGAUGGCGAAGGCAGCCCCCUGGGAUAACACUGACGCUCAUGCACGAAAGCGUGGGGAGCAAACAGGAUUAGAUACCCUGGUAGUCCACGCCCUAAACGAUGUCAACUAGUUGUUGGGGAUUCAUUUCCUUAGUAACGUAGCUAACGCGUGAAGUUUGACCGCCUGGGGAGUACGGUCGCAAGAUUAAAAGCUU
rnacentral:rRNA from 1 species